GUGAUCUUUGCUCUGGUGCUGCCAUUAGCCUGAUAGAGACACUCUCAGAGCUACAAAGAACUCUGGCUCUUUCCACUCAGACCUCCUGAUGAUUCUUGAUCAAGAGAAUAGCCAUCUUGACUCCUACCUCACAUCCUAUGAUCAGAGGAAUCUCCUAGGCUCCCCAUCUGCCAUCACAGCACUCAGGGAAGCCCUGCUCCUACCAGACACAGCUUCAGCAGAGAUCGAGAUUAUAGACUUCAAAGCAAGGAAUUUGCACGUUUGAUAUUUUAAGCAUUGGAAACAUGAAAGAGACUCUAACCAACGAGAAUAAAAGGAUAAAAUUAGGACUCCUAAGCCUGACAUUCAAGAUUCACCCCAAUUUUGUUGAAUUUAUUGCACUAAUUAUAUUCACCAUUACUCCUCAAUGGGGAGAGAGUGAAGACAGUCUAGAAGGGGUUAUGGAAGAACACCACCCCACCCCCAAGGAGAGCAGCAGAGGAUCAGGAACCCAUGCGAGAAGACAUUUGUUAAGAAAUCAAAUCCAGAGGCAUGACUUGUAGUUCCAGAUGUCCCAGAAGACAGAAACUUGUGGAUUCCUUGAUCAUGACAGCAUUGAAAUUCUGAGGUAAAAUUUCCAUAAAGAAUGUAUUGUCUCAUCUUUCCUAAAUAACACUGACUCUGGUUUCUGAGUUAUACACAAGAUACAUUAGUAAAAUCCAUAAAUACACAUCAGCAUUUUGUCCCACCCAAACUGAAACUAUUGUUU
rnacentral:lncRNA from 1 species